UCCAGACUCCUACGGGAGGCAGCAGUGGGGAAUAUUGGACAAUGGGGGGAACCCUGAUCCAGCGACGCCGCGUGAGUGAAGAAGUAUUUCGGUAUGUAAAGCUCUAUCAGCAGGGAAGAAAGAAAUGACGGUACCUGACUAAGAAGCCCCGGCUAACUACGUGCCAGCAGCCGCGGUAAUACGUAGGGGGCAAGCGUUAUCCGGAUUUACUGGGUGUAAAGGGAGCGUAGACGGCAGGGAAAGUCUGAAGUGAAAGCCCGCGGCUCAACCGCGGAACUGCUUUGGAAACUUUUCGGCUAGAGUACCGGAGAGGUAAGCGGAAUUCCUAGUGUAGCGGUGAAAUGCGUAGAUAUUAGGAGGAACACCAGUGGCGAAGGCGGCUUGCUGGACGGUAACUGACGUUGAGGCUCGAAAGCGUGGGGAGCAAACAGGAUUAGAUACCCCGGUA
rnacentral:rRNA from 1 species